rnacentral:tRNA from 1 species
CGGGCUGUGGCGCAGUUGGUAGCGUACACGUCUGGGGGGCGUGGGGUCGGCGGUUCAAGUCCGCCCAGCCCGA